CCUACGGGAGGCAGCAGUGAGGAAUAUUGGUCAAUGGGCGCUAGCCUGAACCAGCCAAGUAGCGUGAAGGAUGACUGCCCUAUGGGUUGUAAACUUCUUUUAUAUGGGAAUAAAGUGCAGUAUGUAUACUGCUUUGCAUGUACCUUAUGAAUACGGAUCGGCUAACUCCGUGCCAGCAGCCGCGGUAAUACGGAGGAUCCGAGCGUUAUCCGGAUUUAUUGGGUUUAACGGGUGCGUAGGUUGUUUUGUAAGUCAGUUGUGAAAGUUUGCGGCUCAACAGUAAAAUUGCAAUUGAUACUGGCAGUCUUGAGUACAGGUGAGGUAGGCGGAAUUCGUGGUGUAGCGGUGAAAUGCUUAGAUAUCACGAAGAACCCCGAUUGCGAAGGCAGCUUACUAAACUGUGACUGACAUUGAUGCUCGAAAGUGUGGGUAUCAAACAGGAUUAGAUACCCUUGUAGUC
rnacentral:rRNA from 1 species